rnacentral:rRNA from 1 species
AACGCGAAGAACCUUACCAGGCCUUGACAUGGGGAGUUUGACUUCCAGAAACGGAAGUCUUCAGUUUGGCUGGCUCCCACACAGGUGCUGCAUGGCUGUCGUCAGCUCGUGUCGUGAGAUGUUGGGUUAAGUCCCGCAACGAGCGCAACCCUCAUCCUUAGUUGCCAACAGGUUAAGCUGGGAACUCUAAGGAAACUGCCGGUGAUAAGCCGGAGGAAGGUGGGGAUGACGUCAAGUCUUCAUGGCCCUUACGGCCUGGGCUACACACGUGCUACAAUGGCGGUGACAAUGGGAAGCCAACCUGCAAGGGUGCGCUAAUCUCAAAAAGCCGUCUCAGUUCGGAUUGCACUCUGCAACUCGAGUGCAUGAAGCUGGAAUCGCUAGUAAUCGUAGAUCAGCAUGCUACGGUGAAUACGUUCCCGGGCCUUGUACACACCGCAUAC